rnacentral:rRNA from 1 species
AACGAACGCUGGCGGCAUGCCUAACACAUGCAAGUCGAACGAGACCUUCGGGUCUAGUGGCGCACGGGUGCGUAACGCGUGGGAAUCUGCCCUUCGGUUCGGAAUAACUCAGGGAAACUUGAGCUAAUACCGGAUAAUGACUUCGGUCCAAAGAUUUAUCGCCGAGGGAUGAGCCCGCGUAGGAUUAGCUUGUUGGUGAGGUAAGAGCUCACCAAGGCGACGAUCCUUAGCUGGUCUGAGAGGAUGAUCAGCCACACUGGGACUGAGACACGGUCCAGACUCCUACGGGAGGCAGCAGUGGGGAAUAUUGGACAAUGGGCGAAAGCCUGAUCCAGCAAUGCCGCGUGAGUGAUGAAGGCCUUAGGGUUGUAAAGCUCUUUUACCCGGGAUGAUAAUGACAGUACCGGGAGAAUAAGCCCCGGCUAACUCCGUGCCAGCCGCCGCGGUAAUAC